AGAGUGAACGCUGGCGGCAGGCCUAAUACAUGCAAGUCGAACGGCAGCACGGCAGAGCUUGCUCUGUGGGUGGCGAGUGGCGGACGGGUGAGGAAUACAUGGGAAUCUGCCCAGUCGUGGGGGAUAACGUAGGGAAACUUACGCUAAUACCGCAUACGCCCGUUUGGGGGAAAGCCGGGAUCGCAAGACCUGGCGCGGAUAGAUGAGCCGAUGUCGGAUUAGCUAGUUGGUGAGGUAAUGGCUCACCGAAGGCGACGAUCCGUAGCUGGUCUGAGAGGAUGAUCAGCCACACUGGAACUGACGACGACGGUCCAGACCUCGUACGGGAGCAGCGAGGU
rnacentral:rRNA from 1 species